rnacentral:rRNA from 1 species
CUUGGUCAUUUAGAGGAAGUAAAAGUCGUAACAAGGUUUCCGUAGGUGAACCUGCGGAAGGAUCAUUAAUGAAUUAAAGUCGGUCUUCUGUGCUGGUGGUGACACAUGUGCACGUUGAUCGCAAAUCCACACACCUGUGCACCUUUGACUUUAGGAUCCGCUUGUUGGCUUGUCUGACUUGCAGCUGAUGUUGGUUUUGUGCUCAUCUGGAUCUUAGAGUAAUUUUACACACUCUGAAUGUAAUGGAAUGUUCCUGUGCAUAAUGCGCAAAAUACAACUUUCAACAGCGGAUCUCUUGGCUCUCGCAUCGAUGAAGAACGCAGCGAAAUGUGAUAAGUAAUGUGAAUUGCAGAAUUCAGUGAAUCAUCGAAUCUUUGAACGCACCUUGCACCCUUUGGUAUUCCAAAGGGUACACCCGUUUGAGUGUCAUUGUAAUCUCACUUCAUCAGCUUUGUUGAUGGAGGUGGACUUGGACUCUGUUGUGUCAUUACAACUGGUCUGAAAUGUGUGAGUGCACCCUGCUGUUGCAGCGUCCUCAGUGUGAUAAGCAUCUUCACUGAAUCAAGUUCCUUUGGGACACGUGUGUAAUGUGGGCUCUGUGCUGGCAAACUGUCUUUGGACAAUCUUGACAAUUUGACCUCAGAUCGGGUGGGACUACCCGCUGAACUUAAGCAUAUCAAUAAGCGGAGGA